rnacentral:rRNA from 1 species
UACAGAGGUCUCAAGCGUUGUUCGGAUUCAUUGGGCGUAAAGGGUGCGUAGGCGGCGCGGUAAGUCGGGUGUGAAAUCUCGGGGCUUAACUCCGAAACUGCAUUCGAUACUGCCGUGCUUGAGGACUGGAGAGGAGACUGGAAUUUACGGUGUAGCGGUGAAAUGCGUAGAUAUCGUAAGGAAGACUAGUGGCGAAGGCGGGUCUCUGGACAGUUUCUGACGCUGAGGCACGAAGGCCAGGGGAGCAAACGGG